UACGUAGGGGGUAAGCGUUGUCCGGAAUUAUUGGGCGUAAAGAGCGUGUAGGCGGUCCGGUAAGUCAGCUGUGAAAGUCAAGGGCUCAACCCUUGAAAGCCGGUUGAUACUGUCGGGCUAGAGUCCGGAAGAGGCGAGUGGAAUUCCCGGUGUAGCGGUGAAAUGCGCAGAUAUCGGGAGGAACACCAAUGGCGAAGGCAGCUCGCUGGGACGGUACUGACGCUGAGACGCGAAAGCGUGGGGAGCAAACAGG
rnacentral:rRNA from 1 species